AUACUUGCCUGAAAUUGGAUUAGUUCUUUGCUGUGACUGAAGCUACAGUGACAGCUUCCUAAAGGUGGCUGGGCAAUAGACCUUGCCCCAUGGUUUUCCUACGAAGUACAAGUCAGUUCAUACCUUAAAAAAUCAGGAUAGCUGAUAGCUAGCACAGACUGAAACAAGAUUUCAGGUCUUCAACCUAUGCUGUGAAGAAUUAAUUGAUAUCCUAAGAGUUAAGUGUUGUCUUCUUUCCCACCAGUGUGGAUAAGGAAGCUGAAGGGAGAUGACAGAGUGCUUACCUGGGCGACUUGCCUGUCUCCAUGACUGCUGCAGACAGAAUUCCUACUCACAAAAGAGGAGACACAGGGAAUAGGUCAGCCUUCUCCCAUAGCUGAUGGGUACCACUGAGGAUCCUGUUAUAAACAAAGAGUGCACAUUACUUUGCUCUUUUCCAGGCUUUCUUCCUGUCCUUGUCCUGGCUUUCCACAUCGGCCGAGUCAGCACCUCUUGGACUGCAGUGAAGUUUCUCUCUGGCUUGCAUCCAGUGAGCUUUCUGCCCAUGGAAAUCACCUUGGUGAGGAUGCUGGGACAAGCCAGGUCUUCCACAGAGUAUGGAAUCAGGCCAUCACCUGGCUCAACAUGGUCCUCUUGGUCCUCUUCCCACAGCUUUUUUUUCCUUCUAGUUCCCUGAACCCUGUGUGCCUGGCCAGUCUUCUCCUGUCCUGUUAUUGUGAUUUGUACUUCUUGCUCAUUCAAAGUGGGUCUGCUCCCUCCCUUGGGUUGCAUAGGUACCACCAAAGGCAUAAUUGAGCAUAAAUACUUUGCUUGUCCCAGAUAGGUCUGGAAUGGCUGAGAAAGGUGUUCAGGGGACUUUCCCUGUACUUUGGUACACUGAAGGUCCUCUGGGUUGUGUCAGUGAGGGAGCUGGGUGCAGUGUGCUCAGGAAGGGCUGGACCUCUGGGCAUUGAAGAUGUCAGAUACUCUACAGAGCAUCUAUGGGGAACCGUGAAGCUUAGCUGAGUUUAGAGGGGUUCCCCUAUGAGACUCUGUGCAAAGGUAAAAGUCACAUUCCUGACACCAGCUUUCACUUUCUAUGGCACUUCAAACCACUCCUCCAAAGCAAGGGGCAAAAAGGCAGAAAGAAAAGCAAGGAACAAGACCAUUUUUUGGCUAUUUUUGUUCUUGGAAAUGGUUGGCCUCUUCUUGCUAAACUUUACCGGAAGGAUCAGUCAAAAUUAGAUAUCACAUAUGGAAAAUUUCAGUCCAGACAGAUGAAGUUUUGCAAGAAAUAAUUAGCUCAGAAGUGGGCCUUUGAAUAGGAAAUGCUCAGCCACCUUCGUAGCAGGCAACACUACUAAAUUUGCUAUGACUAAGCCUUGGUAUUGAUUUUGUUGGCUGGUAGUGGAGAGAUAGUUUGUCUGACUCCUGUAAUUUAAUUCAGUUAAUUAGAACAAAUGGCUAUGUCAUUUGCCAGGACCACUGCCUACUUGCCUGUUUUCUUUUUCCACGCAUAACUUCUCGUAUGCUGCCACAAGAACCAUUAAACCACGGAAUAAAGUUCCCACAAACCGACACUGUCUUUUUAUAUCUGAAUUCUAUCUCUUUGCUGAAGCUAAGCCAAAUGUUUAACUAACCACACUGUAUGAUUUCCAAGACUCCCAAUGGGAACUGCCCCUAUCCAAUUAGGGUAUUUUAGUCAUGGUGCUACUAGUGCGGAGGGUCACACAGUGCGAGGGCCUCCCUUUAAAAAGAAGAUAGCUGCAGUGGCUGUUUAUGUUUGCUUGGUGAGUCACAGGCUGUGGAGAUAAGCUUCAGAGUGAAUGAGACAAGGAGUCUAGGUUUGGUAACCUUGCCAGACUGCAUCUUAAGCCAUUUGCUGCCUGAACAUGUCUCCGUCCUGACACCAGGUUUUCAGAGUUGUCAGUCAAAGGGCAUUUUAAAGCAGCUAAGCACAGGUUUUGUGCUAUCCUUUGUCACCUUGUUUUUCAGUUUAAGAGGCAGCCAGCUAAAUCUGUUUCUGAGUAUUGUAGAUGAUGUUGCACUCAGGGGCUGUUAGUGUAGGGGCAGAUGUGGAAUAAGGCUUUUCUCCCUCUGCCUCUCUCCAGAGAGGAAAUUCAAUCAAGCUGUUAUUUUGCUGUAUCUAGAAAAUAGGAAACUUCCUGUGUUGUUCACAAAGGGUGGUGCUGAUUAGGAGAAAAUUGGUACAAAGAGUGCUCAGCUGGAACGGGAACAAAGGAGAGGUGACAAGCCCAGGACAUGUUUCCACAGUGAACAUUGCUGUACAGGGCCAUACCAUGAGUUUUUCUGCCCCGGCUCUUCAUUCCAGCAUAAUCUUUUUCUUCAUCUCCUCCUCCUCCUCCAGGGAGCCUCAUCUACGCCCCACAGGAAUGCUACUCAUCCGUACGGCAGGGCAGGGAGCCAGGAGGGCUGCCUUUAGGGGCAGGUGGGGAAAGCCCAGCUCUCCUCCCACCCUUUGUCUCUGCUGCUGAGCACCAGGAGUUGCUUUUGGAGCAGGUGGUGGAGUCA